UAUGGCCACAUCACAUUGAAACAAUGUUUCCCAUACGAUCACUGAAGUUAAGCAAUGUCAAUCCCAGUCAGUACUUAGAUGGGUGACCACUUGGGAAUACCAGGUGCAGUAAG